rnacentral:rRNA from 1 species
AUUGAACGCUGGCGGCAUGCCUUACACAUGCAAGUCGAACGGCAGCGGGGGAGAAGCUUGCUUUUCCUGCCGGCGAGUGGCGAACGGGUGAGUAAUACAUCGGAACGUGCCCUGUAGUGGGGGAUAACUAGUCGAAAGAUUAGCUAAUACCGCAUACGACCUGAGGGUGAAAGUGGGGGACCGCAAGGCCUCAUGCUAUAGGAGCGGCCGAUGUCUGAUUAGCUAGUUGGUGGGGUAAAGGCCUACCAAGGCGACGAUCAGUAGCGGGUCUGAGAGGACGAUCAGCCACACUGGGACUGAGACACGGCCCAGACUCCCACGGGAGGCAGCAGUGGGGAAUUUUGGACAAUGGGCGAAAGCCUGAUCCAGCAAUGCCGCGUGUGUGAAGAAGGCCUUCGGGUUGUAAAGCACUUUUGUCCGGAAAGAAAUGGCUCUGGUUAAUACCUGGGGUCGAUGACGGUACCGGAAGAAUAAGGACCGGCUAACUACGUGCCAGCAGCCGCCGUAA